rnacentral:rRNA from 1 species
GUCUAUGGCUAUGCUACCCUGAACACACCCAAUCUCAUCUGAUCUCAGAAGCUAAGUAGGGUUGGGCCUGUUUAGUACUUGGAUGGGAGACUACCUAGGAAUACCAAGAGCUAUAGGCA